ensembl:lncRNA
CCUUACUAUACUAUGUCGAAAAAAAAUGCCUUUUUUCCAAGAUGUUGUAAAAACCUGCCAUAUGAUGAAAUAAUGCAAAGGAGGGCGUGAAAAACACUCCAGAAACGUUUUCUUUGAAAAAAAAAUCAUCAUGAAUUUUGGCGCAAAAAAAACGCCUUACUAUACUAUCUCGAAAAAAAUGCGAUUUUUCAAAUAUAAUCAAAAAACGUGCCAUAUGAUGAAAUAAUGCAAAGGAGGGCCUGAGAAACACUCCAGAAAGGUUUUCUUUGAAAAAAAAAUCAUCAUGAAUUUUGGCGCCAAAAAAACGCCUUACUAUACUAUGUCGAAAAAACAUGCGAUUUUUCGAACAUGCUGUAAAAACCUGUCAUAUGAUGAAAUAAUGUAAAGGAGGGCGUGAAAAACACUCCAGAAAGGUUUUGUUCGAAAAAAAUCAUCAUGAAUUUUGGCGCAAAAAAACGCCUUACUAUACUAUGUCGAAAAAAAAAUGCGAUUUUUCGAACGUGUUGUAAAAACCUGUCACAUGAUAAAAUAAUGCAAAGGAGGGCGUGGAAAACACUCCAGAAAGGUUUUCUUUGAAAAAAAAAUCAUCAUGAAUGAACGUUAGUGUCUGGCACAGUGAAAUCUAUCUGCCAAAGGGAGGUAGUACAAGCCUGGUGACAUUUUGUUUUGUACCAGGCUCCUUUCUCAAGAUUAUUCAUGGGGAUUUAAAAACAAAACAAACAAAAAAGCUGAAACUGGUUAGCUCUUUUGCUAACAGGCAGCAAGUUCACACAGUCUAUGUUAAAAAAAAAUAAAAAUUUACCACAGUUGAACAUAACUCACAUUGAAUUUGCCAUUUUUUGUGACUUUACCUCACCAACACCUGUGAACCCACUGAUCAUGGUGAUUCCAUUGAAUUAAACUGAUUUCAUUUCCACAUUUUGCCAUUUUAAAUGCUAGCGUCAUG